rnacentral:tRNA from 1 species
GCCGGCUUAGCUCAGUGGUAGAGCAACCGCCUUGUAAGCGGUAGGUCGCGAGUUCAAAUCCCGCAGCCGGCACCA